AGAAUGUAUAUUCCAAAGCAGGGUUACUGGAAAGAUGAGCGAUUACCAAGACUUGUUGAAAUAUACUCUUCAGUGCACAUGGAACAGGAUUUUUCCUCUGUUACUCCCAGACAGGAUGUUUGCGGAGAAUCCUGUUAACACAGAAAACAGAGCACAAGCUUGUUUCUGUGGUCCAUGUAGAUAAUCUGGAUACAAAAAAAAUAAAAUGCGUAUUUAUAGGGAAGAAUGUAAAACCAAGGAGCUUUAAGCACAUGAAAAUCAUGAUGCAUAACUGCAAAAGCAGUAGCAAUGUGUGGAACACAUAAGAAUCAUUUCUGUUAUGUCUGAGAGCAUUUAAUGCAGAAAUGGAGGCCUCUCUGUAUUCUGUUCAUUAAGUGCUUGUCCGUGGGCAGGUGUCCAGCAUCCCCGAAGAAUGUAACAGUGAUUUUUCCUUGCAGACUGUACUAGUCAGUUGUAUAUUCUGGAAUUUGGUGUAAUUUAUGCCAUGAAAAGAAGGUACAGGAAAUCGAUUUGGCACUUUUGGUACACAUGGACAUGCGAAAGAAUGACAGUAUGAAAAUUUAUGUUCUUCAGGCAAUGCGCAUGACAGCUUCUGCUUUGCUGGAAGUGCAACUACUGUUGCAUACAUUGAAAGAUAGCGAGGUAGUUCUACUCAUCUGCCUGUCACUAUUACUCAAGCCAGAACAACUGUAAAUAAGCAUUGGUAUAACAAAAUGAAUGUCUGUGCUGUACAACUCAAGCAAAAACUGAUGUUAAACAGAAAUGGUGGUAGAAUUCUCAAGGCUACCUGUUCACCCACCACUACAGUCUCGCCAACUCCCAAUCUGUGGACGGUGCUAUUUAUAACCAGUGUGUAUGGCCAAAGAAGAUGCAGAAGUGGACAUGUUGAGCAAGUUAAUGAUAAUAUUGUGGGUGAAGACAUACACAUAUGGAUUAUUCAAGAAUUUGUAAACUGUGACACGCAGGUCAUUGCUUAUAGCUUCUUAAUGUUGUAAAGUGGCAGGGAAAUAAGGAUUCAAAAAGUGAGGAUGAAGAAGAAAAAGAAGAGGUAAGAACGUCUGUCCCUACAUGAUGAAACGCUGUUGCAUUUAAGUCCGUGGAGUGGUAUGUGACUUCAUACAACGUAAUGAAACAACACUGAAGAAUUUAGGGGGAGUCAAAAGAAACCUAACCAUGAGACUGUGAAUUACCCAGCUGUGAAUCAUCGACUGCUUGUAAAACAGUUAGGUGAUGACUUCAGAAGGAAGACUGCAUUUAUCAAGCAACUUGAAGUAAAGCAAGUGAUAAAUACAUUAUAAAAUACUUGAAGUCUGGAUGUAAUAGUACAUGCCUUAAGUGUUUGGUAGUGCAAAUCUAAGGUUAUCGAGAUUGUUCCUAGUUCUUGUGCAAUGAUUUUAUGAAUGUAAUUUGCUUUGUGAUCUGGUGGCUUUGAUUUCAUUUUAGGAAUGGUUGAAUUGAUUUUUAAUUGUGUUAAACAUAAAACAAACCUGAUGUUACACAAAUGAUAAAGGUGUUGAAUAGGCAUUUAGUAUAAUAGUGCAUGCUAUAAAUGAUCAGUUAUACAAAACUGUUUUUUGAGAUUGUUCCUUGUUCUGGUACUUGCACAAUAUGUAUCAUGUGGUUAAGUUUCUUUAUUUCAGUAAUACUUAAAUAUGUGUCAGUAGACUUUGUGCUGAUUUUUACAAUAAAUAUGGUUAUAGCAUUAUUA